GACGAACGCUGGCGGCGUGCUUAACACAUGCAAGUCGAGCGGUAAGGCCCUUUCGGGGGUACACGAGCGGCGAACGGGUGAGUAACACGUGGGUGACCUGCCCUCAGCUCUGGGAUAAGCCUGGGAAACUGGGUCUAAUACCGGAUAUGACUCCAUGACGCAUGUUGUGGGGUGGAAAGCCUUGUGCGGCUGAGGAUGGGCCCGCGGCCUAUCAGCUUGUUGGUGGGGUGANGGCCUACCAAGGCGACGACGGGUAGCCGGCCUGAGAGGGCGACCGGCCACACUGGGACUGAGACACGGCCCAGACUCCUACGGGAGGCAGCAGUGGGGAAUCUUUGCGCAAUGGGCGAAAGCCUGACGCAGCGACGCCGCGUGAGGGAUGACGGCCUGG
rnacentral:rRNA from 1 species